rnacentral:rRNA from 1 species
CGGACGAGUGAGUAACGCGUGGGUAACCUGCCUUGUACUGGGGGACAACAGUUAGAAAUGACUGCUAAUACCGCAUAAGCGCACAGUAUCGCAUGAUACAGUGUGAAAAACUCCGGUGGUACAAGAUGGACCCGCGUCUGAUUAGCUAGUUGGUAAGGUAACGGCUUACCAAGGCGACGAUCAGUAGCCGACCUGAGAGGGUGACCGGCCACAUUGGGACUGAGACACGGCCCAA